AUUAUGUAUCCGUAACAAAGAAUAAACCGGAAGAAACCGUAAGUCAGAUUGCAUAUUACUACUUUUCAAUAAUAUAGACAUAUAUUAUUGUGGCGAGCAUUUGGCCCAAGAUUAUAUAUACAAAAGACGUAUAUAUAUCAAUCAACUGAAGAUAAGAAGAAAUUAAGAAAGAGUCUACAUUAACACCCAAUUUCAUCUACAUUUUUUACAUUGGCUAGCCAGCCAGUCUUCUAUUCAAGUUUUGUUCCCACUUCAAGGGGGGAGAGAGAAGAAUCGAGUUACAAAGCUAUUUUGGAACUGGGAAAACAAACUUGAAGAGAAAAAAAAGAAUCUAGACUGUGGUUUGUAGGAAAAAGAUUUUCAAAUCACAAAGACUGUACAAGACUAUUUUCUACAACUGAGACAAAAAGCACAAGAUACAACGUGAAUUCUAGAAGCAAGCACGUGGCAGAGAUUGUCAAAUGUCCAGAAUCAAGCGUCCAGAACUGCGCAGCUGUGUGGAUGAAGCAACGAAAUAGACAGAAAUAACUGAUCUGGUGAGUAACAUGGAAUUCAUAAAUGAUGUUGCAGAGAAAAGUAAAUUGCAGUUUGCAUGUAAUAGCAGAUAUUCAGAUGCUGUAUUGUGGCAAUCUUUAUACACACAAUGUGAAAUUGCCAAUAGUGAAAUUGACAAGAAAUUGUUUGUUAAUAAGAAAAAACAAAAGAUCAGAAAUGUUAUGAAACUAGUCUGUACUUACAAUGCAUUGAUUUGUAAACGAAAUGCAGGUCAAGACAAUUUAGAAUCAGCAGAAAAAGAAGUAGAUUUGAAUGGGUUAACAGAAGACAAAUCAGAUUUAAAUGAACAGUGUAACAAUGUAACAGAG